UACGUAGGUGGCAAGCGUUGUCCGGAUUUACUGGGCGUAAAGAGCGCGCAGGCGGUCGUUCAAGUCGCGUGUGAAAGCCCCCGGCUCAACUGGGGAGGGUCACGCGAUACUGAUCGACUCGAAGGCAGGAGAGGGUAGUGGAAUUCCCGAUGUAGUGGUGAAAUGCGUAGAUAUCAGGAGGAACACCGGUGGCGAAGGCGGGUCUCUGGGCAACAACUGACGCUGAGGAGCGAAAGCGUGGGGAGCGAACAGG
rnacentral:rRNA from 1 species